rnacentral:rRNA from 1 species
UACGAAGGGGGCUAGCGUUGUUCGGAUUUAUUGGGUUUAAAGGGUGCGUAGGCGGCCCAUUAAGUCAGCGGUGAAAGCCCGGGGCUCAACCCCGGAACCGCCGUUGAUACUGGCGGGCUUGAGUUCGGUGAAGGCGGGCGGAACUGGCGGUGUAGCGGUGAAAUGCUUAGAUACCGCCAAGAACCCCGAUUGCGUAGGCAGCUCGCUGUGCCGAAACUGACGCUGAGGCACGAAAGCGUGGGGAGCAAACAGG